rnacentral:lncRNA from 1 species
AUGGGGUCAGGCUCAGCUGUUACCUUCUGCUCCUACAAGUUAUUACUAAAAUCCCCUCCCUCCAUCCCCCUCUCCAUGUCAGUGUGCUGGAGCACCGAGGGCGUGGGGGUCUUCUCCCUGCUGCUGCGGGGUGGUCAGCCGCGGGCGCGCCUGCUCUGGACAGCCGGGGCCGCCACCCUCUCGCCCCUGACCUCCAGCGAGACGGAGGAGAUGGGGGACGACGGGCGUCGGGAGCUGCGGAGCGUGUGUGCCCUGCAGCGGGCCGGCCCCGGAGGGGAGGCGCCAGGGACACGGCCGAGUGGAGGACGUGCUCUGAGCAGAGGCGGUAAGGCGGCGGUGAGCCCUGGCGACACAGAGGACAUUGAGUACAUGGACCAGAAGGUGGACGGAGAGAACAACAACAAUGUGGAGAGCUGGGCAGGGACCAAGACGCUGUCCGAAGAGGAGAGCCAUGGGGAGGAUGAGGAGAGCGAUGAGGAAGAGGUUGGGCCCGGGGGCCUGCACAUAAACCGGGUGGACGUGAGGACGCCCGCCCGCCAAGUUAGGAGGGGUCUGCGGGUAUGUGUGGAGAUCUCACACCCGGCCCUCGCUCUGCCUGUCUACAGAACAUGGACAGAGUCAAUACAGGAGGAGUCAUCUUCCAUUUGACCAAUCGGAUACCUGAAACAGGGAUGUUUUUUUUUAUAACCUACUGUAUGUAAUGAUAAUGAAGAUAUCACACUGUAGCUGGUCCAUAUUUCCCUCUCUUUCCAUAGGUUAUUUAUUUAUUUGUAUUAUUAAUCCACUGUCUUUGAUAUCAAUAGUUUUUAGUCUGUAUUUUUAUUUUAUUUUUUAGAAUAGUAGUAAUAGUAAUAAUAGUAAUCCUAUUGUUUCGUUAUACGUGUGUGUGUGUGUGUGUGUGUGUGUGUGUGUGUGUGUGUGUGUGUGUGUGUGUGUGUGUGUGUGUGUGUGUGUGUGUGUGUGUGUGUGUGUGUGUGUGUGUGUGUGUGGACAGAGAGAGAUUUUAUAAUGUUCAGACUCAUAAUCUAAAGAUACAUGUCCUAGUUUUAUGUGGAAUCCGUUCGGUUUGGGUUUAGUGUAAAAAUAUUUUUUUUUUACAGAGUUUCUGAUUAAUAAAAGCAACUGACGGUACGCAGGGUCUGGAAAGUCUGUGAAUUAAUGCCAC